GGUGGUGUCGCCUACCGGUGUGGGCGCCUGGCUGAAACCCAGGAGGUGAAGGUUCGAUUCCUUCCACCACCG
rnacentral:tRNA from 1 species